AUUAACAUAAUGUAGGCGUAAGCGCUUUGACAACAUAGCAGACAUAAAACAGAAAUGAGGAACAGCCGCCAUGUAAAGAUUAUCACUUCACAAGUUGAAAAUUUAGAAGAUUUAAAAAGCCAACUGGAAGCAAUCCAAACCAAUGUUUUAACAGUGAUUGAAAAAGCUGAGCUAUGGAUUCAAGAGAAAGAAAAUGAUUUCACUUUUUUAGAAAUGAGCCGAUUCCUGACAAACGAAACGUCAAAGUUUAUCAUGAAGUGUCAUAAUAUCGCUAGUGACAACAAUGAAUCAGCCAGAGCAAUUUCUACAAGUGGUGUUGCCCUGGAGACUCUCCUCUCUGUGUCAUGCACUAGUAACCGAG